rnacentral:rRNA from 1 species
CCUUAGAGUUUGAUCCUGGCUCAGGAUGAACGCUGGCGGCGUGCCUAACACAUGCAAGUCGAGCGAUUCUCUUCGGAGAAGAGCGGCGGACGGGUGAGUAACGCGUGGGUAACCUGCCCUGUACACACGGAUAACAUACCGAAAGGUAUGCUAAUACGAGAUAAUAUGCUUUUAUCGCAUGGUAGAAGUAUCAAAGCUUUUGCGGUACAGGAUGGGACCGCGUCUGAUUAGCUAGUUGGUAAGGUAACGGCUUACCAAGGCGACGAUCAGUAGCCGACCUGAGAGGGUGAUCGGCCACAUUGGAACUGAGACACGGUCCAAACUCCUACGGGAGGCAGCAGUGGGGAAUAUUGCACAAUGGGCGAAAGCCUAAUGCAGCAACGCCGCGUGAGCGAUGAAGGCCUUCGGGUCGUAAAGCUCUGUCCUCAAGGAAGAUAAUGACGGUACUUGAGGAGGAAGCCCCGGCUAACUACGUGCCAGCAGCCGCGGUAAUACGUAGGGGGCUAGCGUUAUCCGGAAUUACUGGGCGUAAAGGGUGCGUAGGUGGUUUCUUAAGUCAGAGGUGAAAGGCUACGGCUCAACCGUAGUAAGCCUUUGAAACUGGGAAACUUGAGUGCAGGAGAGGAGAGUGGAAUUCCUAGUGUAGCGGUGAAAUGCGUAGAUAUUAGGAGGAACACCAGUUGCGAAGGCGGCUCUCUGGACUGUAACUGACACUGAGGCACGAAAGCGUGGGGAGCAAACAGGAUUAGAUACCCUGGUAGUCCACGCCGUAAACGAUGAGUACUAGCUGUCGGAGGUUACCCCCUUCGGUGGCGCAGCUAACGCAUUAAGUACUCCGCCUGGGAAGUACGCUCGCAAG